GCAGUCGACGAACUCUGGUAUUGAUUGGUGCUUGCAUCAUGAUUUACAUUUGAGUGAGUGGCGAACUGGUGAGUAACACGUGGGAAACCUGCCCAGAAGCGGGGGAUAACACCUGGAAACAGAUGCUAAUACCGCAUAACAACUUGGACCGCAUGGUCCGAGUUUGAAAGAUGGCUUCGGCUAUCACUUUUGGAUGGUCCCGCGGCGUAUUAGCUAGAUGGUGGGGUAACGGCUCACCAUGGCAAUGAUACGUAGCCGACCUGAGAGGGUAAUCGGCCACAUUGGGACUGAGACACGGCCCAAACUCCUACGGGAGGCAGCAGUAGGGAAUCUUCCACAAUGGACGAAAGUCUGAUGGAGCAACGCCGCGUGAGUGAAGAAGGGUUUCGGCUCGUAAAACUCUGUUGUUAAAGAAGAACAUAUCUGAGAGUAACUGUUCAGGUAUUGACGGUAUUUAACCAGAAAGCCACGGCUAACUACGUGCCAGCAGCCGCGGUAAUACGUAGGUGGCAAGCGUUGUCCGGAUUUAUUGGGCGUAAAGCGAGCGCAGGCGGUUUUUUAAGUCUGAUGUGAAAGCCUUCGGCUCAACCGAAGAAGUGCAUCGGAAACUGGGAAACUUGAGUGCAGAAGAGGACAGUGGAACUCCAUGUGUAGCGGUGAAAUGCGUAGAUAUAUGGAAGAACACCAGUGGCGAAGGC
rnacentral:rRNA from 2 species